ACAGAGGGUGCAAGCGUUAAUCGGAUUGACUGGGCGUAAAGGGCGCGUAGGUGGUUAUUUAAGUUAGAUGUGAAAUCCCUGGGCUUAACCUAGGAACUGCAUUUAAUACUGGGUGACUAGAGUACGGGAGAGGGCAGUGGAAUUUCCGGUGUAGCGGUGAAAUGCGUAGAUAUCGGAAGGAACACCAGUGGCGAAGGCG
rnacentral:rRNA from 1 species